UCAAUGUGGAUAUCCUGGAAGGUCAUUCCUCAGGCACUGUACAGGUGGCACAGAGGAGCCUUGAUGUAGUCUCUUUCCAUAUCAUUGGAGAUCAAGCUGAAUCUUGAGUCUGUGCCUGCAUAUUCCUACAACUUUUCAGUCAUCUGUACUGUGACUGAGGAGACAAACCAUGCAGGAAACAAUA